GGGCCGUUAGCUCAGCUUGGAUAGAGCACUUGCCUUCUAAGCAAGGGGUCGAGGGUUCGAAUCCCUUACGGCCCG
rnacentral:tRNA from 1 species